rnacentral:pre_miRNA from 1 species
CAACUACUCCCUCUGUCCCAAAUUUCUUGUCUUAUAUUUGUCUAGAUACGGAUGUAUCUAAUACUAAAAUGUGACUUGAUACUUCCGUAUCUAGACAAAUCUAAGACAAGAAUGUUGGGACGGAGGGAGUACUUU